GGCCCAAUAAACACAAUCCCUUCUUGGUCAUCAUAAAAAUUAUGAUCAUAUUUUUAGAUCCUGAUAUUGCAUGUUGGUCCAAUACACUUUAUUGGUUUGGGCUAAUUAUUGUAGAGCAUUCUAUGGAUAUUUUACUGCCAUGAUGAUAAGGUCUCUUGAUUGAUCUUAUUUUUUUGAAAUUUUGAGGAACAUAUCCAUGUUGGUUAUAAGUGAGACUC
rnacentral:lncRNA from 1 species